rnacentral:lncRNA from 1 species
GUUAGAGUUUGUUGUACAAGUUUGCAAAAUGUUAAUCUGCAUUACAUAGUAGGUUAGCUUUUCCAAUGCGUAUAUCAGUUAUUUGUCGGUAGUUUCAGCAUACAUACAUAGCGUGUAAAUAUAUACAACAAUUUUGUCGCUAUUUAUUUUCCUUCCUUCAUCUUGGGUGUGGGGAGAGGUACAGAAGUGAAAAGGGGUGGGGGUUGGGGUGCUAUCUCGUUUGCGGUUUGUUACAUACAAUUUGGGGUGUGUUGUAGUUCCUUUUCCCUUGCCCCCUUUCUCUCCCCAUUUGGGGGGGGGGUUGCAGUGAAACCUUCAGUCGGGGGGGGAGUGUUAGUCGCGUGGGUGAUCAGGUAUAAGCCCGCAUGGGCUAUUGUAGUUUUCUCUGUGUGGAUUCUGUCCUCUUGUCAUGUUGUUGUGGUUUUCUUGGUUCUGUUCAGUGAUUUAAAUUUUUAGGUCUGCGGGUUUGUCUCAAAACAUCUUUUAAUUGCUUUCUCCCUUUGGCUAUCACAUUGGGAUAAUUUUCCCGUUGCAAGCAUGCAGCUGGCAAUACCCUCGAUAUUAUUUUUUCAGAUGUAUUCACGGUCUCUAAUCUCUGUAGCACUCUAUUUCAGAUCACCACCUCUUACCAUUAGUGCUUGAGAGCCCCUCCACCCACCCACCAUUCUCAGCCUAACCCCCUUCAACUCAGGAGGAACCUAAAUUCUCUUGAACUCCAGCGACUCUCAGCUGAUGUCUGAUGAUCAGCUGAACAGAUUGAUACCUUCCCAUCUUAAUUUAGUCUCUAGAUUUGUUCACUAAAUCGCAAAUUUUACCAAAUUCCAUCUGAAUUAUAAAAUAUAUAGGCUGAAAUAGCUAAUCUGGAAUAAUUCUCAAACUCAGCUAUAGAAAGAGCUUGUCUAUUUUAUCUUAAAAUCUAGAUCUUGUUUUAGUAACAAUUUAGAUUAAUGGGCCCCAUAAAAACAUAAUUAAAUACGAUUUACCUUAAAUCCCAAAGAGCCAUGGCACAGUCCCUAGAAGUAUCUCUAGAAAAUCAGCGGUAGUGGUUCUAGAGUUUAUAGUGACCCUUUACUUUUCUAAAAUGUGGCGUUUGGUGAAUAAACCUGCAUAUCCCUAUUUUUUUUUUUUAGGGAUGUGCAUGAGCAAAAAGUUCAGUUCGGCACUUCCAAAAUUAGUGACUUUGGCAAUACCCUAACCACCACAGCCACUUACACAUCUAGGGUUCGGGGUAGGGUUAGAUUCCUGUCAUCAUUCCCGUAAGUUUCUCUCCCUCUCAUGUUUUGUCACUUUUCAUAAAUCCAAAGCACUUAGGCACUUCUGAAAUUCUUCGGUUCGGCACUACCGAAAUUCAGGCCUUCAGCAACACGGGACUUCGGCGGUUCAGCACUUUGGCAAUUCCCUACCCCUAACCCUACUCACCACAACAACUUACAUAUCUAGGGUUAGGGUUAGAUUCCUGUCAUCAUUCCCGUUAUUUUCCCUCCCUCUCCUGUUUUGCCACUUUUCAGAAACCCAAAGCACUUCGGCACUGCCGAAAUUUGGCAAUUCGGUUUGGCACAUCCGAAAUUCAGACAUUCUGAAGCAUCCGAAUGUCCGAAUUGCAGAAAUAAGGCCAAAUUUACAUUCGUAACGAAACAAAUUGCACAUGUCUAAUUUUUUUUACAGAUGUGCGGACCUUUAUUGUCCUAUAAUGAAAUUCUCGAUUAAAAACAAGUUCUGUUUUAGUUGAUAGCCUAAUAUUUUAAAAAGAUUGCUAAGGAACACUCCAGACACUUCAGGCAUUUCAGCUUGCUAUUUGCUAAAGUGCUUUAUGUAUCUGGAGUUUGUCAUAUUUGUGCCAGUUUAUAAAUAGGACCAAUUUCAAUAGAAAUCAGCGCAGACAGUAAGGGGGUUUUGUUCCUGUUCGCUCCACAGGCCUAAUGGAAGCAUCAGGCACUCACUUGUCAAUGAGCUGUACUACAGGUCAUUGAGAAGCAUAGGAAAUCUGCAAUUGCUAGUGUGCACGUCUCUGAUUGGUGAACUCCCUGGCACAGACUGACAAUCUGUACUGGGAAAAGAGGAGAGCCUUGCAGAGACUGUGGUUUUCUUUCAUAUAUCCCCAAAGAAACAAGCAGAAAAAAUGUAUCUUUCAUUGGAGGGUAUAUCUACUAAAUUCUCACAAAAAAUAAAACUUUCAGAGGAAUGUUUAAAAAAAUUUGAAGUGGUGAC